ensembl:lncRNA
CUGAUAACAAUUUUCCUGUCCUGCUAAGCAUUCAAAAUGUAACACGUCUUUUGGGUGUCAGGGGGAAAAUUAUGGAGUAAAAAGUACAUUAUUUUCUUUAUUUUACAUUAUUUUCUUUAGGAAUGUAGUGAAGUAAAAGUAUACGUUGUCAAGUACAGAUAUCCCCCCCCAAAACUACUUAAGUUGUACUUUAAAGUAUUUUUACUUCACACCACUUUAGCAGACUCAGAAACAAACAAAUGGAGAGAGUGGCAGGUAGUAGAGGUCAUGACAUAAACAAACCAAUGGAGAGAGUGGCAGGUAGUAGAGGUCAUGACAUAAACAAAC